GCCUCGGUGGUGUAGUGGGUGCAGCCCACGGAGCCGGUAUUGGUUAGACGCGGGUUCAACUCCCGCCUGGAAUA